UCCAGUCUUCCUGGUCCACCCUGAUGUAAGAUCUACGUGUGUAAUGAGUAAUGUUGCUCCACGCCACUGAACGCACCAAGGUGGUGAGAACGCCCCGCUGCAUGUAUGUGCCCCACUGCAUGUUCACUGGAGGUGGGGGAGGCGGCUUGCAUUGUGGCAUGAUGGAUUAAAGGAGCAUACCAAGUCCAAGUUGCUAUUUCUCCCAAGAGUGAAAAGUGGAGAUGAAGAAGGAGCCCAUCCCCAACUUCCAUUUGCCCUGCUGUGGAUUCAAUCAUAGAUUGGUGGAAAGCCUGAGGAGUGGAAAGAAGAAGAGACUGCCACAGAAGCCCAGCACAGAGACUCAGCACUGAUAAAUCAGAUCAGGAGGCAGAUCAUAAGGAAGCAGAUCAUCAUCAUCAUCCUCUUCAUCUUCUUGAAUCAGCUUGAGAUGGUCAUCUUGAAGAAGACAUCUUAAUCCAUCAGAUCCAGCCCUCACCACCUUUUCAGCCAUUGGAGGCAGCCAUCUUAGAACCAUUGAAACUGAUUUCUGCUAGCUGACAUUUUUGCUCGAGAAAGGGUCUUAAACAUGAAUGUGACCCAAAACAUCACUGAACUUGCUGCCCUUGCUUGUAAUUGAAAUAUACCAUGCACCACCUGGCUAGAUAAAAUACUCCUUUGAAGCACAUAACGGAGUGCUGUGUUAUCUUGGAUUAUUGAUACGCACUUCAGGUCCCAUGGUGAGAAGGAGAUGCAAGAUGUUCAUCCACUGAAAUCCAUUUUCUCGUAAGAGUGUACUGUCGUCAGUGGAUUUAAUACUGUUACACUCACCAUCGUGGACAACAAGUCACCUCCAACAGCUGCAUAAAAAGUUAUACUUAUGUCAUUCCUGAAUACAAACACACUACUAGACAGUUGUGGAAACCUGUAGAAUCACCUCCUCCAUUGCAAGAUCCAAUGACUUCAUUACCAACCUGAGAUUUAAUGUGUAAAUUGCUGAAAAGGAAAAAACUUGACGAGAGCCACAGCUCUUGAAUUACAAGCCAUAUCCUUGGCUGACUAACACAAAACACAACAUAUCCCAAGAGGACUCAGAUGCAACUUACAUACGACCUUGAGGAUCUAUAUUUUUGUUCACAAUUUGAAAAUAUACUUAAUAAAGUUUCAUUUGAUAUUAUUUUAUUGAUUUUAAAACGUGCUGAGAAGAGUUGAGAAGCAUUAGAGACCACAUCAGUGGGACAGAAACUGUAUACCGACCUUACGCCAGAAGAGGAAACUUCUGUUAAAAACAAUGUACAAAAAUUAACUGGAUUCCAUGGCAAUCUAGAGGAAUGAAAAAGGGCUAAUUUCCUGCAAGACAGUCAAGACUACAAAAGAGGACAAGUCUACUAGAGACCACCACCUAGUAAUACAGAUCCCCUCCAGACUUUCUCUAAGUCGCCUAAAUCAUCUAGCUUUGACAGUGAAGCAGAUUUUUUUAUAGGACAAACCAGUUCAAGCUCCUGCAGAAGAGGAUGGCGAGGAGGGUGGAGCACAGGCACAAGAGGCUCAAACAUCUAUUUCAGAGGAUCAGUAUGGACCCACUCACAGGGAUGGAUCCACCUGUUGUUGGGUCCACUUCUUUACCACUGCCAGGUAAAAAAAACAGGACGAGCAACCUUUGGUUCUUUUCCAGAGAUUAAGUUUUAUUUUGAUUAUCCGGCCUAGAUACAGCAAGUUUUAUAGCUCUUAUAAUGAAUGAACCUACUAAUACCUAGAAUGAUGUUACCUUAGUUCAUUCCCCAAUUCAUUCAUCCCUCGGUUCAGUCAUCCUCAAUUCAUUCACACACUAAUCUCUCCUCAGUCUCAGGCUAGUACAAAAUGUAAACCAAAAUAUGCAUGUUGAUUGUUUGAUUUUGUAGUAUUGUUUUAUUGAUGGCCAUUGUACAUUUGGAAUGUGGAGCAAAAAUGACCUGUCCAGGCUCUUGUGUAUAUACCUAGUUCAAAUACAAUAAUAACCUUUACAGUAAAUCCAAAGGAGACAAACGAUUACUCUUCUAGACAGAAAACCAUAUACAUUGUUCUAACAGCCAUGGAAAUGCCGUUUGUCCUAGCAAUCUCUGAGGUUUAAAUUUUUCCAUUUGAUUUAAACCAAAAGUUCCUUAUCCUUUCCUGCUCACCUCUACACAGCAAUAGUGUUGAGAGAAUUGAAGCCAAAUGAAUUGACUUUGAUCCGAAUUUCAGGAAAAAUUUAAUUAGUUGCAAAGCCGAAUUUCGCGCUUCGUGGAAACAAAUCUAUUUUUCCUGAAAUGGCAGGAAAAAAAAAACAUACUCACCUUAUUCUUUUGCUGGUGGAGAGGCCGUUGUAGCCAUCUUGAUUGAAGUUACCAUGCAAAAUCUUGCGAGGGGUGAUGUGUGACGUCACCGCACCUGGCCAGCAUGAUGAAGUGAUGAUUUUGCAUGGUGUCUUUAAUCAAGAUGGCCGCGAUGGCCUCUCCCCAAGCAAAUGGAUAAGUUAAUUAUGUAUUUUUUUUUACCGAAUUACCAUCCGAAAGCCUACAAUUGUAGCAUCAGAUGCCAUGAUCAGCAAUAAACGCAGCAUCUGAGUGGUUUCAAUGACGGGAGGCAGCGCGAUUGCAAUUCCCUGUCAUUGCACCUGCAACAUACAAAGGAAUGUGCUUCAAAAUUAGGGGCGAGUUAGGGUGGGAGGGCAUGGACACUUGCAGAAAACGUGCCGUCCCUGGGCAUUUGCAUAUCUUUGAAACAUGAUUUUUGGCGCUUUGGAGACUCUCACAAACUAAACAAAGGUAACAUUAGCAACUCCCUUUAAAGACACUACGGGAUUGGAAUCAACCUAGAUGGGCAAAGAAUAACCUUUGUAAUUCUGAAUAUCAUGCCCUCUAUAUUUUAUGUGAAAACGACCAACUUAUUAUUAAACUAGAGGAUAAGGGGUCCAGUAUUGUAAUAAUGAUGUCACAAAAGCUAGGGAUCAGUGCAGUCCUAAACUCCACCCACACCUCUAUCCCUACCUACUUGCAUGGUCCGUCCUAACCGACGACGUACAACUGGGCAGCAGUCCCUAACUUAUGUACGUGCAGAGGCCUAAGAAAAGGAACAACACAGAGUGUACACAAUAGUGAGACAUCACACAGAAGCGGGGCUUCCAGGCCAGCACAGAAUAGCAAUAGACCAAAGGACCCAGGUAAAGGAUAGGAGGGUACAAAAGCACAAAAUAAACUAUAAUGCCGAGGUCAAAAUCCAUGAGGUCGCAUCAGUACCAGGGGUAACACCAGCACAUGGUCAAAUACAAGCCGAGGUCAGGAGCCAAGAGAUCGUGUCAAUACAGGGGGUAGAACCAGGUCAGCGUCAAGUACAAGCCGAGGUCAAAAGGUAGAAGUCGCACAAACAGGAAUCACUAGAUCAGGGCUGGCCAACCUGCGGCUCUCCAGCUGUUGCAAAACUACAACUCCCAGCAUGCCUAGACUGCU